rnacentral:rRNA from 1 species
ACAUCCAGAGAAUUUAGCAGAGAUGCUUUAGUGCCUUCGGGAACUCUGAGACAGGUGCUGCAUGGCUGUCGUCAGCUCGUGUUGUGAAAUGUUGGGUUAAGUCCCGNAACGAGCGCAACCCUUAUCCUUUGUUGCCAGCACGUAAUGGUGGGAACUCAAAGGAGACUGCCGGUGAUAAACCGGAGGAAGGUGGGGAUGACGUCAAGUCAUCAUGGCCCUUACGAGUAGGGCUACACACGUGCUACAAUGGCGCAUACAAAGAGAAGCGACCUCGCGAGAGCAAGCGGACCUCAUAAAGUGCGUCGUAGUCCCGGAUUGGAGUCUGCAACUCGACUCCAUGAAGUCGGAAUCGCUAGUAAUCGUAAAUCAGAAUGUUACGGUGAAUACGUUCCCGGGCCUUGUACACACCGCCCGUCACACCAUGGGAGUGGGUUGCAAAAGAAGUAGAUAGCUUAACCUUCGGGAGGGCGUUUACCACUUUGUGAUUCAUGACUGGGGUGAAGUCGUAACAAGGUAGGCGUAGUGCU